AAUGAAUUGCCUGAUAAAAGGGCUACCUUGAUAGGGUAGAUUAUGUGGUACUCCACAUUCAUUA
rnacentral:tRNA from 1 species